CAUUAAGUGACUGAAAGCAAGUAAUGGUCUCUUAAACCAAAUAAUAGUAACUAACAACUACUCUUAAUG
rnacentral:tRNA from 1 species